UAAGCAUGGUCUGGAGGAUGCUCUUUCCUGGAUAAAGCCUAACCUUCAGCUUUAAGAAAGAAAAGAACAAGGGUAUGAGACUAGAACCUUACCUGGUCUAUGUCAUGUUGGCUCACUGCAGUCAGACCACUUCUGAAAUCCAGGUUGGUUUCUGAAGCGAAGGAAUCUAGAGAUAAAAGACACAGUCAAAACAGCUUUACCAGGAUGCGUCUACUACACCCUGGAAGAAUCUGAAGACAAUGAACCACAGCGCCACAGAAAACAUGGGUCAAGGCUGAGAAAUCUAUUUCAACUUUCAGUAACUAGAAGCCCCUGGAAAGCAUUUCACUUGUCUAGGUCAGGGUCUGCAAGCUUUCCUUCCGUUUCUUUCCCACUAAGGGAUCCAAUACAAGCUCACUGGUCAAACAGGCUCACUUAAUAAAGAUCAUGGCCCAGGCUGACCCACAUCCAUUCUUCUAGAAAAUUAUUUGUGAGCAGGGGACUCUGGAGCUGGCCAGCCCUUAACUGCAAGAAGCUGAAGAGCAGUGUCUUAAGAUGUUCAUAUCGUCCACACAAUUUCCCAUGAAUAGAAGUAAAACACAAGAAAUAGCCAUGUCUAAUAACUAAGUAGCUCUCCAUUGCCCAAUCCACUCUUAGUAACCUGGAAACAAAAAAUAAAUAAAAAUGUAACUAGGUUUUCAAAGCACUGAGAUCUAUAGGUUUUCAGAAUGAAGUUUACCUUGUAGUCUUCUGCUUUUAAAUAAGGUUCUGGAGGCAAACAGGGAAUCCUGAGAAUCGGUGGGCGUGCAAUGUAACAAGUAGUACUCCAGAUGGCGCCAAAGAAUAAAUAGGCAGGUCUCUAUGAUAA